rnacentral:tRNA from 2 species
CCCUCGUUAGCUCAAUUGGUAGAGCGCUCCACCUGUAAUGGAGAGGUCCCGGGUUCGAUACCCGGACCAGGCG